UAUGCUGGCUUAUUUAAGUGAUUGCUUUCCAGUUGUGGUUUCCUCCAUCCUAAUUCUUCUUUCUUCUUCUCUCUCUCUCUCCAUUUUUUUUUUUUAAUUCACGGAAGCCCUUUCAGUAUUUCUUUUAGAAUGGGUUUCAUAUUGCUCUACUCUUUUAGCUUUGUUUGUUGGAGAAAUUCUUUAUUUCCCCUUCUAUUUUAAAUGAUAUUCUUGCAGGAUAGAGUAUUCUAUGUUGCAAAUUUUUCCUUUCAGAACUUUGAAUAUAUCUUGCCACUCUCUUCUGGCCUGUAGUAUUUCUGUAGAGAAAUCAGCUGAUAGCCUUAUGGGGGUUCCCUUAUAAUUAAUGCCUUGCUUUUCCGUUGCUGUAUUUAGAAUCCUCUCUUUAACUUUUGUCAUUUUUAUUAUAAUAUGUCUCAGUGUGGGCCUGCUUGUGUUCAACUUAUUUGGGGCCCUCUGUGCUUCCUGUAUCUUGAUAUCUGUUUUCUUUAGAUUUGGAAAGUUUUCAGCCAUAAUUUCUUCAAAUAUAUUUUCAAUCCCCCUUUUUUUUUCUUCCCCUUCUGGAAUUCCUAUUAUGCAUAGAUUGAUCCAUAGAUCUCUUAUAUUGCUUUCAUGUUUUUUCAUUUGGUUUUCUGUCUGCUGUGCUGAUUGGGUGAUUUCCAUUAUCUAUCUUCUAUCUCACUAAUUUGUUCCUCUGCAUUAUUCAUUCUGGUCUUUAUUGCCUUUAGCUCAGUUUGCAUCUCUGUAAAUAAAUUUUCUAGAUUUUCUUGGCUCCUCCUUAUAUUUUCUAGUUCCUUUCUAAAGGAAUCUGCAUUACUCUUCAUAUCCUCUCAAUUCCUUCAGUAUUUUCACUAUCUCCCUUUCGAAGUCAAAGUCUGUCAGACUGCAGAGGUCUGUUUCAUUUUUGACUUUAGGUGAAUUUUCCUGUUCCUUUAAGUGGGAAUGAUUUCUGAGCUUCUUAAUCUUGCUUAUGUUUUUCUUUUUCUGUGAGUUUGGGGAAGCCAAACUAGUCUUGUAAGACUACUUCUAUGCAAGAAUACCCUUUUGUAUUUUUUGGGUGGUUACUCUUUAUUUUUGGUGUGGGAGUUUGAAUAUUUGCCAUCUCUUUCUUUGGUGUGAGCAGGCUGUUAUCACCAGGAUGCUCAGUAUGUUUUCAGGGAGAAGGAGGCAAUGGGUAGGGCCAGCAGUCAGUGCCUCAUCAUUGGGCUCUCAACAGCAGCAAGGACCUGCAGGAAGGUGGCACAGGCUAUUUCUAGUUACAGGGCCCUGGGAAGUGGUAAUGAGCUCUAGGCAGAUCUACAAGGAGUAGCCUGCAUCACCUUCCUGCAGGUCCUUGCUGCUAUUAAGAGCCAAGCAACCAGGCAGAGACCACUAGCCCUACCCAUUGCCUCUUUCUCCCUGGAAACACACUCAUCACCCUGGGGAUAACAGCCUGCUCACACUAAAGAAAGAGACAGCAAAUACUCAAACUCCCAUGCCAAAAAUAAAUAGUAACUCCCCAUGAAAUACAAAGGGGUGCUCUUACAUAAAAGUAGCCCUCUAAGGCUUCGGUUUGGCUUCCCUAAACUCACAGAAAAAGAAAAAUAUAAGCAAGAUUAAGAAGCUCAGAAACCAUUCCCACUUAAAGGAACUAAAUUCACAUGAAGCAGCAAACAAUGAAACAGACCUCUGCAGUCUGACAGACUUUGAGUUCAAAAGGGAGAUAGUGAAAAUACUGAAGGAAUUAAGGCUGAAUAUCAAGGAAUUAAAAGCAGAUAUGAACAGUAAUGCAGAUUCCUUUAGAAAGGAACUAGGAAAUAUAAGGAGGAGCCAAGAAAAAUCAGAAAAUUCAUUUGCAGAGAUGCAAACUGAGCUAAAGGCAAUAAAGAGCAGAAUGAAUAAUGCAGAGGAAAUGAAUUACGACUUGGAAGAUAGAAUAAUGGAAGUUACCCAAUCAGGACAGCAGACAGAAAACCAAAUGAAAAAAGACAAAAGCAAUAUAAGAGACCAAUGGGAUAAUAUAAAGUGGGCCAAUCUAUGCAUAAUAGGAAUUCCAGAAGGAGAAGAAAAAGAAAAGGGGAUGGAAAAUAUAUUUGAAGAAAUUAUGGCUGAAAACUUUCCAAAUAUAAAGGAUACUGAUACCAAGAUACAGUAAGCACAGAGGGCCCCAAACAAGUUGAACCCAAAUAUGACCACACCAAGACAUAUAUAAUAAAAAUCGAAGAAGUUAAAGUUAAAGAGAGGAUUCUAAAGGCAGCAUGAGAAAAAUAAAGCAUUAAUUAUAAGGGAACCCCUAUAAGGCUAAUAGUUGAUUUCUCUACAGAAACACUACAGGCUAGAAGGGAGUGGCAAGAUAUAUUUAAAGUCCUGAAAAGAAAAAAACUGCAGCCUAGAAUAUUCUAUCCAGCAAGAAUAUCAUGUAAAAUAGAAUGGGAAAUAAAGAAUUUCUCCAACAAACAAAAGCUAAAAGAGUACCGCAAUGCUAAACCCAUUCUAAAAGAAAUACUGAAAGACCUUCUCUAAAUAAAAAAAGAAAUAAGAAGAAAUAGGAUGGAGGAAACCACAACUGGAAAGCAACCACUUAAAUAAGCCAGCAUACAGAUCUAAAA
rnacentral:lncRNA from 1 species